CCUACGGGCGGCUGCAGUGGGAAAUAUUGGACAAUGGGGGGAACCCUGAUCCAGCCAUGCCGCGUGUGUGAAGAAGGCCCUCGGGUUGUAAAGCACUUUCAGUGAGGAAGAACGCCUGGUGGUUAAUACCCAUCAGGAAAGACAUCACUCACAGAAGAAGCACCGGCUAACUCCGUGCCAGCAGCCGCGGUAAUACGGAGGGUGCGAGCGUUAAUCGGAAUUACUGGGCGUAAAGCGCGCGUAGGUGGCUUGAUAAGCCGGUUGUGAAAGCCCCGGGCUCAACCUGGGAACGGCAUCCGGAACUGUCAAGCUAGAGUGCAGGAGAGGAAGGUAGAAUUCCCGGUGUAGCGGUGAAAUGCGUAGAGAUCGGGAGGAAUACCAGUGGCGAAGGCGGCCUUCUGGACUGACACUGACACUGAGGUGCGAAAGCGUGGGUAGCAAACAGGAUUAGAUACCCUAGUAGUC
rnacentral:rRNA from 1 species